GACAAGUGGCCUGCACAGCCUGAAGCUUACUGGGGGAGUCGUCUUCAAUGUCCGGUGUCCUUUUGAGGUGGCUGUUCCUUGAUCCCCACUUUCGAUUCAGAUCUUCAAAGGCUUAAAGAAAUAAAGAAAACAGACAGCUCUGAACAUGGUUACAUAUCUGGUUGGCAUGGCAGAACAGAUGGAUGAAGGGAAAGCAGUUGGGGAGGUUGUCUGCCUUGGCAUCAGAAGGCUUCUGACACUGUCUCCCAUAACAUCCUCUCAGUGCCUAUAUGGAAAUUGCAUCUAGAAAAGCCAGUCCCAGAAGCAGAGGUUAGCUGUUUCUCAAGACCCCACAGAACUGCAUGAAGGAGGUGCUGCAGUGGUGAUGUAAUUGCUGAGGGAGGACAGACAGAAGGGGAAGACUUAAUUCUCUAAUC